rnacentral:lncRNA from 1 species
CAGGAAUCUUCUUUCAGCAGUUUAUUCAGGCCCUUGAUAUUUCUUCUUCUCUCUCUCGGAUGCCCCUCCCAGCCUUAAUAAAGCAUCCCAAGCCCCAAUGCGAAGCUGCCGCGUGGAGCUUUCUCAUAGGGUGGUGAAAAAUCAUGCGCCAACUCUCCCAAAUAAGGAGUUGUUUGUCACAGACCACAGCAGAGCCAGCGCCAUCUUGUAAUGGCGACCAUAGUCUGCAGAAACGGCAGAAGCAGCUCACCACAAAAUAUUACCAUAAUAUUUGUGCACAUUGCUUGUUUGGGUUUUUAUUUAACAAUAUGUCUUGUUGAGUCUUAGAUAUACAUUUAGAUAAAGUACACAUAAGGCUUAUCUGAUUGUUUUUACAGCUUCACAGUAGUUCAUCAUCAGGGUACACCACACUUUGUUGAACACUGUCAAUGGACCCUGAUGCCACCCCCCCACCCCAUGUUGUAGCAUUUAUCAGAAUUUCUUUCCUUUUUAAGGCUGAAUAAUAUUCUACGUUAACAGAAGUAACAGAGUUUGAUAUUACAAGGAUGCUGCAAUGCUUGUGCUUGACCACAUGUAAAUUUCUCAUGCCUGUCAGUGUAUGUGGAGGAUAAUAAACCUUGCUAGACGUUGCCAAACUCUUCUCUGUGAAGGCUGCACCAAUCGUAUGAGUGUGUGUGAGCAUUGUGAGUGAUCAUUCCCCCAAACACAAUAUUUUUGUUUUGCUCCAAUAAAUGCACUGUUGAACUGUUUGAUCAUUG